rnacentral:lncRNA from 1 species
GUAAGAGAUUGUGGGCCAAGGUUGGGUGGAGACAGAUGGGGAAAUGCUAAUGUUUGUAAUUUUGGUGAAAAGGGGGACCCAGAGAAUAAUGGGUUCCAAGGUGGGAACUCGGGUGUGUCGAGGAUGGGAACGAAGCCAGAGACCAGAGGUACAAUUACUUCUGACACUCUUCACAGGACCACCUGACAUGGUUAAACAGCCCUGGCUUAACGUUCCAGACACUGCUGCCAAUACUUGCGGCUGUUAGUUCCUGAUUUCUGCUUAAGAGAACUUCCAUGAUUGAAUCUUCCUGCUUCUGGAAAUAAAAUGGGUAGUCCCUUGCAUACAAAGCUUGGAGGGUGUCUCUCAUUCUUCUCUUCUUCUGCUUUUUCUCAUCUACCUGAGAAUAAUUUUAAAUGGAUCGAAGGAAUGAAUGUCAGCCACCAAACUGAGAAGUUGACUUGCCUUUAAUCACCUGUAACUUUGUUAGAAUAAUAAAUUCUGUAGAAAGCUAA